rnacentral:misc_RNA from 1 species
AGAUGCAAAAGCAAAAUGGGUGCUGAUUGGCCCAAGAUUGCUCACAUCUGAAAUAUUAUUAUUGACGAUAGAUGGAUUCAAGUGGAUGGCUGCUACAAACUAUGAUCAGAAGAAUCAGAUCGACUUCUCUUGGGGUUGAUCGAUAUCUUGCAAUAUUCUCUCUUAAAUCUCAGAGCAGUUGUUCAUAGAUGUUAAAGAAUUGGUGUGUAAUCAUGACAAUUGGUGGAUGUACUGCUACCGCUUCUGAACUUUAGGAUGGGGAUUCAUUGAGUAGCUUCAUAUAUGAAAUUUCGAUGAAGGGCAUUGUCAUUGAUCAACUUCUCUUCACAUUCCUUUUCUUUAACUGGAGUUGCCACCAUGAAGAAGUCCCACAAUCCCUUGUAGCUGGUCAGUGCCUUAGUUAAUAAAAUGAUGAUACUAUAUCCAAAUUUGAAGCUGGAACAUGAUUUGUUGGUCUCUAAUUGUAAUCUUCUUGUCAUUAUGAAUUUGAUGUCUUCACCUCGGUGGACGCCCAAACU